UACGAAGGGGGCUAGCGUUGUUCGGAAUUACUGGGCGUAAAGCGUACGUAGGCGGCUUUGUAAGUUAGAGGUGAAAGCCCGGGGCUCAACUCCGGAAUUGCCUUUAAGACUGCAUCGCUUGAAUCAUGGAGAGGUGAGUGGAAUUCCGAGUGUAGAGGUGAAAUUCGUAGAUAUUCGGAAGAACACCAGUGGCGAAGGCGGCUCACCUGGAGCUGGUAUUGACGCUGAGGUGCGAAAGCGUGGGGAGCAAACAGG
rnacentral:rRNA from 1 species